rnacentral:rRNA from 1 species
CAUAGGUUAAUGAGGCGAACCGGGGGAACUGAAACAUCUAAGUACCCCGAGGAAAAGAAAUCAACCGAGAUUCCCCCAGUAGCGGCGAGCGAACGGGGAGCAGCCCAGAGCCUGAAUCAGUGUGUGUGUUAGUGGAAGCGUCUGGAAAGGCGCGCGAUACAGGGUGACAGCCCCGUACACAAAAAUGCACAUGCUGUGAGCUCGAUGAGUAGGGCGGGACACGUGGUAUCCUGUCUGAAUAUGGGGGGACCAUCCUCCAAGGCUAAAUACUCCUGACUGACCGAUAGUGAACCAGUACCGUGAGGGAAAGGCGAAAAGAACCCCGGCGAGGGGAGUGAAAAAGAACCUGAAACCGUGUACGUACAAGCAGUGGGAGCACGCUUAGGCGUGUGACUGCGUACCUUUUGUAUAAUGGGUCAGCGACUUAUAUUCUGUAGCAAGGUUAACCGAAUAGGGGAGCCGAAGGGAAACCGAGUCUUAACUGGGCGUUAAGUUGCAGGGUAUAGACCCGAAACCCGGUGAUCUAGCCAUGGGCAGGUUGAAGGUUGGGUAACACUAACUGGAGGACCGAACCGACUAAUGUUGAAAAAUUAGCGGAUGACUUGUGGCUGGGGGUGAAAGGCCAAUCAAACCGGGAGAUAGCUGGUUCUCCCCGAAAGCUAUUUAGGUAGCGCCUCGUGAAUUCAUCUCCGGGGGUAGAGCACUGUUUCGGCAAGGGGGUCAUCCCGACUUACCAACCCGAUGCAAACUGCGAAUACCGGAGAAUGUUAUCACGGGAGACACACGGCGGGUGCUAACGUCCGUCGUGAAGAGGGAAACAACCCAGACCGCCAGCUAAGGUCCCAAAGUCAUGGUUAAGUGGGAAACGAUGUGGGAAGGCCCAGACAGCCAGGAUGUUGGCUUAGAAGCAGCCAUCAUUUAAAGAAAGCGUAAUAGCUCACUGGUCGAGUCGGCCUGCGCGGAAGAUGUAACGGGGCUAAACCAUGCACCGAAGCUGCGGCAGCGACGCUUAUGCGUUGUUGGGUAGGGGAGCGUUCUGUAAGCCUGUGAAGGUGUGCUGUGAGGCAUGCUGGAGGUAUCAGAAGUGCGAAUGCUGACAUAAGUAACGAUAAAGCGGGUGAAAAGCCCGCUCGCCGGAAGACCAAGGGUUCCUGUCCAACGUUAAUCGGGGCAGGGUGAGUCGACCCCUAAGGCGAGGCCGAAAGGCGUAGUCGAUGGGAAACAGGUUAAUAUUCCUGUACUUGGUGUUACUGCGAAGGGGGGACGGAGAAGGCUAUGUUGGCCGGGCGACGGUUGUCCCGGUUUAAGCGUGUAGGCUGGUUUUCCAGGUAAAUCCGGAAAAUCAAGGCUGAGGCGUGAUGACGAGGCACUACGGUGCUGAAGCAACAAAUGCCCUGCUUCCAGGAAAAGCCUCUAAGCAUCAGGUAACAUCAAAUCGUACCCCAAACCGACACAGGUGGUCAGGUAGAGAAUACCAAGGCGCUUGAGAGAACUCGGGUGAAGGAACUAGGCAAAAUGGUGCCGUAACUUCGGGAGAAGGCACGCUGAUAUGUAGGUGAAGUCCCUCGCGGAUGGAGCUGAAAUCAGUCGAAGAUACCAGCUGGCUGCAACUGUUUAUUAAAAACACAGCACUGUGCAAACACGAAAGUGGACGUAUACGGUGUGACGCCUGCCCGGUGCCGGAAGGUUAAUUGAUGGGGUUAGCCGCAAGGCGAAGCUCUUGAUCGAAGCCCCGGUAAACGGCGGCCGUAACUAUAACGGUCCUAAGGUAGCGAAAUUCCUUGUCGGGUAAGUUCCGACCUGCACGAAUGGCGUAAUGAUGGCCAGGCUGUCUCCACCCGAGACUCAGUGAAAUUGAACUCGCUGUGAAGAUGCAGUGUACCCGCGGCAAGACGGAAAGACCCCGUGAACCUUUACUAUAGCUUGACACUGAACAUUGAGCCUUGAUGUGUAGGAUAGGUGGGAGGCUUUGAAGUGUGGACGCCAGUCUGCAUGGAGCCGACCUUGAAAUACCACCCUUUAAUGUUUGAUGUUCUAACGUUGACCCGUGAUCCGGGUUGCGGACAGUGUCUGGUGGGUAGUUUGACUGGGGCGGUCUCCUCCUAAAGAGUAACGGAGGAGCACGAAGGUUGGCUAAUCCUGGUCGGACAUCAGGAGGUUAGUGCAAUGGCAUAAGCCAGCUUGACUGCGAGCGUGACGGCGCGAGCAGGUGCGAAAGCAGGUCAUAGUGAUCCGGUGGUUCUGAAUGGAAGGGCCAUCGCUCAACGGAUAAAAGGUACUCCGGGGAUAACAGGCUGAUACCGCCCAAGAGUUCAUAUCGACGGCGGUGUUUGGCACCUCGAUGUCGGCUCAUCACAUCCUGGGGCUGAAGUAGGUCCCAAGGGUAUGGCUGUUCGCCAUUUAAAGUGGUACGCGAGCUGGGUUUAGAACGUCGUGAGACAGUUCGGUCCCUAUCUGCCGUGGGCGCUGGAGAACUGAGGGGGGCUGCUCCUAGUACGAGAGGACCGGAGUGGACGCAUCACUGGUGUUCGGGUUGUCAUGCCAAUGGCACUGCCCGGUAGCUAAAUGCGGAAGAGAUAAGUGCUGAAAGCAUCUAAGCACGAAACUUGCCCCGAGAUGAGUUCUCCCUGACCCUUUAAGGGUCCUGAAGGAACGUUGAAGACGACGACGUUGAUAGGCCGGGUGUGUAAGCGCAGCGAUGCGUUGAGCUA